rnacentral:rRNA from 1 species
GAUGAACGCUAGCUACAGGCUUAACACAUGCAAGUCGAGGGGAAACGGCAUUUAGUGCUUGCACCGAAUGGACGUCGACCGGCGCACGGGUGAGUAACGCGUAUCCAACCUACCCAUUACUGUGGGAUAACCUGCCGAAAGGCAGACUAAUACCGCAUAGUCUUCGAUGACGGCAUCAGAUUUGAAGUAAAGAUUUAUCGGUAAUGGAUGGGGAUGCGUCUGAUUAGCUUGUUGGCGGGGUAACGGCCCACCAAGGCGACGAUCAGUAGGGGUUCUGAGAGGAAGGUCCCCCACAUUGGAACUGAGACACGGUCCAAACUCCUACGGGAGGCAGCAGUGAGGAAUAUUGGUCAAUGGACGGAAGUCUGAACCAGCCAAGUAGCGUGCAGGAUGACGGCCCUAUGGGUUGUAAACUGCUUUUGUAUGGGGAUAAAGUUAGGGACGUGUCCCUAUUUGCAGGUACCAUACGAAUAAGGACCGGCUAAUUCCGUGCCAGCAGCCGCGGUAAUACGGAAGGUCCAGGCGUUAUCCGGAUUUAUUGGGUUUAAAGGGAGCGUAGGCUGGAGAUUAAGUGUGUUGUGAAAUGUAGACGCUCAACGUCUGAAUUGCAGCGCAUACUGGUUUCCUUGAGUACGCACAACGUUGGCGGAAUUCGUCGUGUAGCGGUGAAAUGCUUAGAUAUGACGAAGAACUCCGAUUGCGAAGGCAGCUGACGGGAGCGCAACUGACGCUUAAGCUCGAAGGUGCGGGUAUCAAACAGG